ACCGUGUAGCCCAGGCUGGCCUCGAACUUAGUGUGAUCCUCCUGCCUCAGCCUCGGAGUGCUGGGAUAAGGGGCGUGCUCAGUGUGACAUUCCAACUCCUGUGAACAGGAGUUGCAGGCUCGAGCCUGCAGCGUUGGCCUUUGUGUCUAUGGACUCGUCUUACAGGAGACCACUGUGUACAGCACUGCGUGCCACUUAUUCUGCGGCCUCUCUCCCGCCUGGGGAGGUCGGGCAGGACGUGACAUUCCUUGGGGCUGUUGGGGUGUCAUAGGGACCAUGGGGACCAGGAGCCUAGUGUGGCCUGCAAGGACCUGCCCCAAGACCGCCCCUGUCCCUUGCUUUCUGCCCCACUUGAGGUCUAGCCGAGCUCCCGUGGCGCUGCUGCCGGGGCAGAGACAGUGCUGUCCCCGGCUUUGCAGCGGCUCGGGGACCCGAAGGCCUUCGGGCCUGAGCCCUCGUUGCACCAGUGCCCCCGAGACGGUGUGAUGCGGCACUGUGGGUUCCCCAGGUGCUUGUAGAGUCCCCACUCUUGGCGAGUGACCUUGAGGACACCUGUGGCUGCAGGAAGUCAGGCUGCUGCCCUGGGGGAGACAGCCAAUGUGGGGUCCCUGCCUGUGGGUGGUGAUGCUGUGAGUGCCGUGACCCCCGGGGAAAAGCAGGGGUCAGUCGACAUCUGUGCCAUCUUUGCUGCGAUCCCUGGAGCUUGGCCCUCAAGGGGAUUAGCAAACCCAGAUCCCAUCGUGUGUGUGUGUGUGUGUGAGUGAGUGAGAGAGAGAGAGAGAGAGAGAGAGAGAGAGAGAGAGAUACGCAGCCCAGGCUGGCCUUGAACUGGGAGCGAUCCUCCUGCCUGAGCCUCCCGAGUGCAGGGAUGACAGCUGUGUACAUUUUAAAGGAGUGAGUGCCACAGUGACCGGGACCCUGUAGGCGAGCAGGACACAGGCAGGGUUUUAGGGGCGCAUGGUCAGAGGUGAAGGUGUUGGAGUUGGCGGUGUAUUUUGGAGCAGUUAUUCUAGAAGCAUACGCAGCUCCGAGAACUCAGAACGAAACGGACCGACUGCACAGGCGCUGGGGAUUUAGCUCAGCGGCACAGUGCCUGCCUUGCAAGCGCGAUGUCGUGAGUUCAAUUCCCGCUACCAGAAAAAAAAAAAAGAAAGAAAGAAGGAAACGGACUGCACAGCCCAGAGCAGAACGGGCGAGCGAGUGUGGUGACCCGGAGCGCAGACUGAGGGCGCUCGUGUCCCGGCCCCUGUGUCAAGAUGGGUGCGUGUUGCAGGUGCGUGAGUGUGUGCACGUGUGCAAGGUCACACAGUGGGCACCGUGGGACAAGACGCCCUGUCCCUGUCCGGGGCACCGGGAUACCCAGGGCAGGGCCUCCGCUUGUCCUUGCUUUCCUCGAUCAUCACCAUCGUUCCAGGUUUCCCAUGAACCUCGGCACAAGUGAGUUUUAUUCUCACCCUAAUUUCUGCCUGGCCUGUUUGCAGGUUGAGAGGGUCGCGCGCCUUCCUGCCGGGAGCUGGUGCAUCCCAGAGUUCGCAGCACAGUGCAGACAGAUGCUCAUGCUGCGCACUGCACAAAGCGGAAGUCGACUUUCCAGCUCCUUUGGCUCCCGGUCCAUGCGGUUCGCGGUGGUCUCUGCACUGGCAUGUUGGGCAGUGUCCUGCGGAGCUGGGUUGCAAGUGUGAGGUAGAAAAAGUGAAAGAGAAAACGGGGCCUGGAGGAGGCAGUGGUUGUACCAAGCGCCCGGAGCCGCGUGGCUCUGCACGGCCGAGCUGCGGAGGGGUCCAGAAGCUGAGGGAGCCUGGGCCGCGUCUCACUGUCCAGUUCCACGGAGAUGGAGAUGCCUGAGCUCUCCUGCCGGACACGGAGGGACCCCGAGUGAGCUGUGGUUGUCAGCUGAUCUCCCCACACCCCAGUUCCAACUCCAGAAUCUCUCUGUGCCUCACAGCAAAGCAUGGAUCCCCCAGGUCACCCCAAGAAAAUGGCGGGGUGCGGCCCAGGCUCGAGGGCUGUGCAGGAAGCAGCGGUGCAGUUGAUUUCUCUCGGCGAGUGUGCCGAGGGCAGCCUCAGUUCUUCCACCGCCGCUGCGGUGCCUCUGACGUGGUUAAGUACAGUCGUAAGCCGGCGUGAUGGCACACGCCUGUCAUCCCAGAGCUUGGAAGGCUGAGGCGGGAGAAUCUCGGCAAGGUUGAGGCCAGU